rnacentral:tRNA from 1 species
GCGGGCGUCGUAUAGUGGCAGUACGCGACCUUCCCAAGGUUGAAGCGUGGGUUCGAUUCCCAUCGUCCGCU